CGCACUCGGCAAACAACAGCCCAUCCUCCCACACGCGCGUUCGAUGUGAUUGCGUUUGCACAACCCGGCCAAGCACGGACACCUGCGGUCCUUGUUCGGACAGCCUGUCAUUUGAUUUGUUUCUUUCGGUAUGUACAUACGUAUUGGCCAUUUCUUUUCAUGUAGUGUUCGCAUCUGACCUGAGUUUGCGAGCAACUCGCGGUGUUUUUGCAGGGCAGACACAAAGCUGAUGAAGGUUGAUCUCGCCGAAGCCACCAUGAACUAUGAGGCUCUGGACACCGGGAUGCGGGACUACUCUCCGCGCCUUCACGGGACAUUGGAUGCGGUGAUGGAACCCUCCCUGGAUGCCCACAUCAACCCCAACCUCCUGCAGGGUGUGGAGAUGGACGCGGACGGUCUGGCUGUGACAGGCCCCGAAGCCGUGCACGUGACGGAGGGCAUGUUUUCGGAGCUGCACAGUGUCGUCUCCGAAGUUGGCGUCCCCGUGACAGCCACGCAUUUUGACGCGCAGGAAGAAAUGCUGUGGAUGGGAAACCACAGAGGUCACGCCACGUCAUUCUUUGGCUCUACGAUGGGCCGCUACUCUUCUUUUCAAGUUCACGCCACCGACGACAUUCGGCACAUCCAGAGUCUGGAAACGGGCGUGCUGUUCCUCUCAAAGUGUAACCUCAAGUGCUACACUCGCGGCGGCCUCGUCAUGUUCGAUUAUCCGAUGGAGGAAGGCGCCGAUAUGCAUAGCCUCCUGAUGACUGACAACAAUACUUUGCUGAUGGGUGGCCUGCAAAACUACGUGGCUGAGCUGGACUUGAAUACGGUUCAGGAAACGCAAAAGUUCACCGUGGAGGUCCCCGGAGUGGCAAUCGUGCGCCAAAGCAGUCGCUUCUUCUUCUGCGGCCACACCUCGGGCAAGGUGACGCUUCGGGACCCACGCACGUUCAAGACGGAGCACCGCUUUGACGCCUUCUCGGGCAGCCUGUCGGACUUUGACGUGCACGGCAACCUGUUGGCCGCCUGCGGCUUCUCCAGCCGCGGACUGAGCGGCCUGGCUUGCGACCGCUUCCUCAUGGUGUACGACCUGCGCAUGAUGCGAGCCGUCACGCCGCUUCAAGUGCACGUGGACCCGCUCUUCCUGCGCUUCAUCCCGACGUACACGUCCCGCUUGGCCAUCAUCUCGCAGACAGGUCAGUGCCAAUUCUGCGAGCCCACCGGGCUGGCCAACGUGGCGGACGUCUUCCACGUCAACACGGUGGGCCAGCUGCUGAUGAGUUUUGACGUGUCGUCCGGCAAGCGAGCGUUAGCCUUCGGGGACUCGGGAGGAUGCGUGCACCUGUGGUCGGACGCUCCCGACGUGUCCUUCAACGACUACUCCCGGGAGACGGACUUUGCUCUGCCCUGCCUGGUGGACACGCUGCCUCAGCUGGAGUGGAACCACGACCUGCUGCCCCUUUCGCUCAUCCCCAUGACGCUCACCGGCACCGAGCCGCUUUUGUCGGACUGGCCCGCCGCGCUGGCCGCGCCUAGACCCAGACGAGCGCCUCCCGUGGACCCGGAAAUCCUGCGCACCAUGAAGACAGUGGGAUUCAUCGGCUACGCGGCCAACCCUCGCGCUCGUCCCCGGAACCAGGUUCCUUACAAAAUGAAAGACACCGAGCAGGAUUACGACAGUUACAGCCAGGUCCCGGAGUCGCCUAUCGGGCGUGACCAAGAGCCGCAUCUCUACAUGGUGCCCAAAAAAUAUCGAAAGGUGACCAUUAAAUACUCCAAGCUGGGACUGGAGGACUUUGACUUCAAGCAUUACAACAAAACCCUGUUUGCUGGCCUGGAGCCUCACAUCCCUAACGCCUACUGCAACUGCAUGAUCCAGGUUUUGUAUUUUCUGGAGCCCAUUCGCUGCCUGGUGCAGAAUCAUUUGUGUCAGAAAGAGUUUUGUUUGGCCUGCGAGCUCGGCUUCCUCUUCCACAUGUUGGACUUGUCGCGAGGAGAUCCCUGUCAGGCAAGCAAUUUCCUGCGGGCAUUCCGCACCAUCCCCGAAGCGUCCGCACUGGGCCUGAUCCUGGCAGACUCUGACGAGCAAACGGGCAAGGCCAGACUGGGACGUCUGAUCCAGAGCUGGAACCGCUUCAUUCUCACGCAACUGCACCAGGAGACUCAAGAGCAGGAGGGGCCGCAGGCUUACAGGGGAGCCGGUGGCGGUGCCAGCGGCGGCGGCGGCAGCAGCAGCAGCAGCUGCCCGGGCUCAUCCGGCGAGUCGGCCGUCGGCAAGCUGUUUGGCUGCGAGGUGGAGAACAGCAGUCUGUGUCGCUGCGGCCAAGAGACCGUACGCUCCUCCCUCACCUUGCUCUUCACCAUGCGUUACCCCGAGCACAACCCUCAAGAGAAAACCGUAAAGGAGUACGACUUUGCCGAGAUCCUGAAGAAGAGCAUCUGUCUGGAGCAGAGCACGCAGGCGUGGUGUGAAAACUGUGACAAGUAUCAGCCCACGGUCCAGACACGCAACAUUCGAUGUCUGCCCGAUGUUUUGGUGAUAAACUGUGAGGUGAACAGUGCUAAAGAGGCGGAAUUCUGGAAGGUCCAGGCAGAGUACGCCUUCCUGAAAGCGCGGCCAAAAGUGGAGUCGGGGCCCGCCGUACCUGCAGAAGCCCCGCCCAUGCCCAGCGAGUGGUGCCUUGACGGCGAGGAGGACGUCGCCAGCAGCGUGGGGGGCUUUGCUCGCCCGGAGGACCUGAGACACACGUGGAUCCCGCUCACGUUGAAGAUGUCCAUCAGCAAAAGCCAAGGGCUGCAGGUCAGCAACUGGCCAGGAGGAGACGAGCUGAGCGCGGGUGAGGAGGCGGGCGAGGAGGCGGAUGGUGCGUCCCUCUACGACCUGGUGGUGACCGUGCCUCAUGUCCUGGACGCUCGCACGGGCGGCAACUUGGUGGCGCACAUCAAAGUGGGAGAAACCUACCACCAGAGAAAAGAGGUCGGUGGAGUCGAGCCUGUGUGCAUGGGCGCUUUUUGCCUUUUUGCUUCCACUUUGGGCCGUCUUUUCUUUCAGGGAGUCACGCACCAGCAGUGGUACCUUUUCAACGAUUUCCUCAUCGAGCCCAUCGACAAGAGUGAAGCCGCCCAGUUCGACGUGAGCUGGAAAGUGCCCGCCGUCCUCUAUUACGCCAAGAGGAACUACCACGCCAAAUACGAUCUCCGCAUUCAAAAGCCCAUCGACGCCAGCGUCCUGCUGACGGAGGCCUCGCUGGCUCGCAAGCAGAGGAAGACUCACGCCACCUUCAUCCCGCUGAUGGUCAGCGAAAUGCCGCAGGCGGGUGACCUGGUGGGGCUGGACGCAGAGUUUGUGACGCUCAACCAGGAAGAGGCCGAGCUGCGCAGCGACGGCACCAAGUCCACCAUCAAGCCCAGUCAGAUGUCGGUGGCCAGGAUCACGUGCGUGCGGGGCCAGGGGCCCAACGAGGGCGUUCCCUUCAUCGACGACUACAUCUCCACGCAGGAGCAGGUGGUGGACUACUUGACUCAGUACUCGGGCAUCAAACCGGGCGACCUGGAUGCCAAGAUCUCCUCCAAGCAUUUGACCACUCUCAAGUCCACCUACCUCAAGCUGCGCUUCCUCAUCGACACGGGGGUCCGCUUCGUCGGCCACGGCCUCCAGAAGGACUUCCGAGUGAUCAACUUAUCGGUGCUGAAAGACCAAGUCAUCGACACCGUCUACCUCUUCCAUUUGCCUCGCAAGAGGAUGAUAUCACUGCGCUUUCUCGCCUGGUACUUUCUCGACCUGAGCAUCCAGGGGGAAACCCACGACAGCAUCGAGGACGCCCGCACGGCCCUGCAGCUCUACAGGAAGUACUUAGAAGUGAGUCGUGCCGGCGGCCCCGACCAAGUCAGGAAGGUGCUGAAGGGACUCUACGAAAAAGGCCGGCAGAUGGACUGGAAAGUCCCGGACGGGGACGUGGGAGAUGGCGGCGGCGGAGCUAGUCCAAAACGGGCUGCACUGUUUCCUCCGGUGGCAGGCCUGUGACUCAACAACGCCGAUGCCGUCACCCUUUCUUAUCUUCCCCCAGCCGCCGCCGUCGUUUGCAGAUCUGCAUCGUGACAUCCAAUGCAUUUGACUCUGCUUGAGGACGUCCGGCAGGCAAAAUGUUUGGAGGCUGCAUCAAACUGGGCCCAAAAUUAAUGUCACUCCAAGAAUGCGCUGAAGCCUGCCAAAUUGUUACAGCCCAGGGGAAACGUCGGGGCGACGCAGACAGCGACUAAUUUGCUAUCAUUGCCUCAUGGUGUGGAGCAGGCCACAAGCAAGCGAGCACGACUACGCUGUGAAGCUUAGUAGCUUAGGCGUUGGUUGGUCCAUCCAUCAAUAUACUGUACCAUUAACUUCAUGACUAAUGCUGGAACGGAUAACAAACCUGUUGUGGCGGACCUCGGGAGCAGGCCUGCAUUUGGGAUGUGUUCUUUGUGACAUCGCAUGGUCUUUUGACAACUAGGGUCCCGUCUCCCUGGUUGGCGGUCAAGUCGGUCUUGGAAUAAAGACGUUUCUUCCUUCUGCCA